CCGCUCACUUCAGCAGCACAUAUGCUGAAACUGGAGCAAUUAGAGAAGAUUAACAUGGCUCCUGUGUAAGGAUGACACACAGAUUCAUGAAGUGUUCAAUAUCUUU
rnacentral:snRNA from 1 species